CCUUGCCAGCCCGCUCAGAACUUAAAGGAAGUUGACGGGGCCCGCACAAGCGGUGAGCAUGUGGUUUAAUUCGAUGAUACGCGAGGAACCUUACCUGGGCUCAAAUGUAUGUUGACGUAUUCUGAAAGGGAUACUUCUUCGGACAAUAUACAAGGUGCUGCAUGGUUGUCGUCAGCUCGUGCCGUGAGGUGUCGGGUUAAGUCCCAUAACGAGCGCAACCCCUAUCAUUAGUUGCCAUCAGGUCAAGCUGGGGACUCUAAUGAAACUGCCUACGCAAGUAGUGAGGAAGGUGGGGAUGACGUCAAAUCAGCACGGCCCUUACGUCCAGGGCUACACACGUGCUACAAUGGCCGGUACAAAGGGCAGCUACCUGGUGACAGGAUGCUAAUCUCAAAAGCCGGUCUCAGUUCGGAUCGGAGUCUGCAACCCGACUCCGUGAAGCUGGAAUCGCUAGUAAUCGCGCAUCAGCCAUGGCGCGGUGAAUACGUUCCCGGGCCUU
rnacentral:rRNA from 1 species